AAUCUGCAAGUGCUCAGCAUCACUACUCGUUACAUAAAUAAUUUCACCUGUUCUUUCCUGCCUUCUGUAUUAAACUUUGACAUUCUGAAAUGUGACAAAAUGAGUUUCACAAAGGCUGUUUCCUGGGCCUCUUAGGCAGGAAACCUCAUGUGGGAUACUGGGGCAUUUUGCAUUCCUCUCUAUUCACACUGAGUCAAAAACUGAGCUGACUGCUGAGAGAAGGCAGUGGCAGAGAACCACAGAAAUGAUCAGUUUCCCUGCUGCUGAACAAGACCUAAUACUGCUCUCCCUCUGCUUCACUAGAGACUUUGGAAUUUUAUUCACCUUUCAGGCUUUCUCCUAUUGAUAGAGAGAAAAGAGGCUUUCCCGGUCAUAACCUAAACCUUAAUCUCUUGUGUCUCCAUAAGAGGAUUUAGUGACGUGCUUUGUUUGAUUCCUGAUGCCAACUUUAUGCACAAUAGUUCAAAAAAUCUCUUGUCAUGAGUCGCAGUAUAUCAGACUGAAUUCUUUGCUUUUGUUUUCAGUGCAGUGGUGUGAAUUCUCUGGAACCUUCACUGAAGCCUGUAUGUUGCAUGAUGCUUCCUCGGAGAUCACAGUACCAUAGAAAGAUGGACUGGUAUUUUUUGGAUGGGAGGCCUUCUGGUUACAGCCACAAAGGAGGAAACUGUCCCGUGCACUGACUCUGUGUUCAGAAGUGCACAACUUCUCCUAGCCUUAGUAGGACUUGGAGCUUGGCGCUGCUGAAAAGCAAGGCAUGUAUUUACCAGCCUGUCUUCCCGCAUGUGUAUCCUUUCUCUGAUCUAGUUCACUUCUCCAUACUCCAAUGCUGUGUUGGUUGGGAUAGGAGCUGCAGAGGACCCUGAAGUUCAUUGUGCUGGAGAAGACUCCUCAUAGAGCUGGAGCUGUUUUGCCUUCUGUGUUUGGAUCCGAAGCCAGUCUUGUUCUCACUUGGCACCAAAUAGACACAGAUGAUGAGACUGUAACAUAUAACACACAGAAGAAUUUAUUCUAGCUCUCUUCAACAGAUUCUGACUUCUGAAACCUACAACAGUACGUUGUUUUCAAAGGUGGAGAAAGGGAUAGAGCAAAUUACUGGAAGGAAACCUAUUGCAUAUGAAGCCAUUUCUGCUCAUAAAGUUGCUAAACCUCUGGUUGCCUGAAGUUUGGAAAGUGGAAGGGCAAACUGAAACCUCUGUUUGGUCUGGGCUGGCUGUGUUCUGCAGUCUGCACAGCGCCUAUGUUCUCUGGACACCAUGAGUAGUUGCUUAAGAUUAAAAUCAUAGACAGUGGGUGUUCCCAGGCUGUCCCGCAGUCAGUAACCAAUAAUCAAAAAUAUUUAGUGAAAGAAAAAGUUCAGGUAAAUGUUAUUUGAGAAUGUGAACAACAGGAAGGAGAAAAAGGUGGAAAUUCAGAGGGAAAAAUGACGAGCAGUAGAAAAUAUGUAUUUUCCAAGAUCUACAGUGGAGUGAGAAUGUUCCCUGGGGUGGAAUACUAUUUGGUUUUAAAAGUAGACUGAGUAGGAGGCUGGAAAAUGCUAUGCUAGAAAGGAUCCCACGUUUUCAUCUGUUGACCCACUAACCUUUUCUUUACAUCUGUUAUCAGAAGUGCUUUGCAAAGUUUUUGUUUGUUUUUCUUUUUUGUUUCAUCAGAAAUUGUUCUACACAGAUCUGACUUGUCUGUUUUCCCAGCAGAGAUAUGCCAGGACAUCCAGAGUCAUAGGGAUUACCCAAUAUUUGCCUGUGUUGGCAGUAAAUGCUGGCAGUAGGGAACUCCCUUUUUGGCCGUGUAGGUUGCUCUCGUCAUAUCUUCCAGUUUGAGAAUUGCAGUAGAGGUAGAGAAUAGCUACAGAGAUCCAGAAAAAAGAACCCUGAGGCAUUAAGUUCCACUCUUACACCAGCGUAAAUCUGAAGUGGAUCUCAUUACAUGGCUCUAAUUUUAAAGAAUUAUACCUGAAAUGGAAACGUUAGAGAUACUAUGGAUAGGCAGUGUGCUCUCUGCUUUGCUAAAUGGAUUUACUGUGCUAAUUCUGAUGGAAUUUCACUUCAGCAGAUAAUCAGAAUUACUGAUAGAAGAGUUCAGAGUAAGUAGGAGAAAGUACAGCAGUUAAUUACAGUGAUGUUAAAAAUAGAUUAUGUGGGAAUGAGAACACUUUCCAGUAGAUGAAAGUGUGAAAGUCAGAACAUGGUGCACAGCUUUUCACCUCCAAGUAUAAAAGUCACCAAGAAAUGUCCCAUUGCCUCACCAAGGAUGGGUGUUACCUACACGGAAGUGGCUGCUUUGCCAUCAGAGUGGCUGCCUCCCAGCUGGUGAUUCCUUCCAGAAAAAGACUCAGGAAACAAUCCAGGAAAGCUUUCCCUCUAUUUGGUGUAUGCACUAUGUAAUUGGAAGGUUGUGAUCACAAAAGCAUAGAAUCAUAAAAUGGUUUGUGUUGGGAGGGAUCUCAAUGAUCAUCCAGUUCUAACACCUGCCAUGGGCAGAGUUGCCACCCACUGAACCAGAAAUUAGAUGAGGCUGCCCAGGCCCCAUCCAUCCUGGCCUUGAGCACCUGCAGGGAUGGGGCAUCCACAGCUUCUCUGGGCAGCUCUUGUACCAGCACCUCAUUCUGUAGGUGCUGAAUGUAGUCAUAUACCUACACAAAAUAAGGAAGAUGAACUCUUUGAAGGGGCUAAUUCAGAACUGGCCUCCUGGAAAUCUUUCAGCUGGAGUAGCUACAUAGAUUGGAAGAGUUGAGAAAGGCAUCGUGCUUUGCACUUCUGACUGUCAUUGCAAAGCAGCCAGAAAUAAAGAGUGGAACGAGAAGCGUUUAACUGCAAUGUCUGAAGGCUUCAACUAUCAAUGAAGCUAACCUGAUAGCUCUGGUGCUCCCGUGGUUCAUGAUGAGAGAAUGAGGAACCUCCAGAGCCCUGGAACACUGUUCUGUGCCAAUCUCAGAGCUGCCUUCAGCUCUGUGCUUGGUAAUCUGUUAGUGAUUGCAAAGCUGUUCUCCUUCUCUUUCUUAACACUUCAAAGGAGAAAGAAUUCAGCAUUUUCCCAUUCUGUGCUGUGUCUCUGGCACAGACAUAUGUCUUGUACCUUGCAGCUAAUGUGUACCUUGCACUGUCACAGGGUGCAAGAAAGAUAAAUACCCACUGAUAACCAUAGCAUCUUCUUUUUUAAACCUUCUAAGUGCUCUGCUGACACAGUCCCACAUUCCACCUGUUUGGCUGCAAACUCUCAGUCCCCCAUAUCUGCAUGCAUUGCCCCACCAGCCAGCAUCUGGUCCAGCCCCAGCUACCUUUUGUCUCUCUGUUUUAAAUCUCAGUCUGUUUUUGAGGAUGAAAAAUUAUCCUCUGCUUCAAUUUCCUCUUGCUGGUGCUGGAAUUAAUUGUUAGUUGCAUUCCUUGUGGGGAAUGUAAUGAAAAUAUGACUAUAAUAUACUUAUAGUGUGAUUUGUGGUUACCAGUGGAAAUAUUUAAUGAUCUUUUUGUACACAUGGAAUAAUUGCUUCUUCUGUAUCACAAUAAUGGACUGCAAUACAAUUACACUCUUGUUCUUCUUCGUAUAAGAAAUAAGCACAUGAGUGGAACAGAAUCUGAAAAGCAGAAUGCCCGUCAUAUCUCUCCAAUAUCCAUCUGCUCACUGGAGAUUCUGCACUCUUUUGAAUAACACAGACUCUUAUAAUCAACGUGAUUGUGCAGCUUUAAGAUAAACAAUUCAUAAGAUAGCUGAAGUUCAUUUUCAUAACAAAACUAGGCAUUAAGGAGUCAUUCCUGAGGCUUUCCCUAAAGGUAAAGGCUCGGAGGAAUGCAAUACAUUGCAGAUAAAUCCUCCUCAUAUAAAGCAGUGUAUCCUCAGUUGCACGGAGAUGAGCAACACUCACUUUCUCUAACAAACUUCUGCUGUGAGCUGCCUCUGAACAAGGUGUUCCUGCCUUAUGAGAGCUCAUUGCCCAUAUGUUAAACCACAGACUUUUCAUUUUUUCAUUUGGCAGGAGAAGGAAGGGGUUAAAAGGCAAGGAGCAAUCAUGUGCUGGCUUUAGGAAAAAGCAAGUUGUGCAAAAAGUUGAUGAGAAGUGAAAAUCGCUGAGGAAGUGAUUUUUUAGGGAAGGAAAUGUGAUGUUUGCAGACAGGAGCACUCAGUCUCCUUCUUCUGCCAUGGAGUGUGGGUGAGAGCAGUCCCAUGGGCGGGCCUGGUAGGGCUGGAGAUGUUAUUCUGUGCCACAGAGAUGGAAAAAGGAUCAGAGAAAGGGUCCCAGGUGUAGAAAGGAGGGACGGAAUGCGCCCCAAUGUUGGAUUCCUUGGCACAACAUUUGCUAGUGCAACCCUACUGAGCUGCCAAGCACCAUGACUUGUACGUAUGUCACCCCUCUGGCACAAUUAUGGCUGUGUGACUCAUUCUCAGAGCAAAGAUUGUAGAGAACACUUCUUCAAUUUGGGGAAUGGCUGAAGAUAGAAUGGAGUGCAGUUAGGACAUCAAUUUAAAAGCAGCUGGCAACACACAGUACAACAAACAGAGGGUAAGUUAAGCUGUCACCUUACAGUAAGCUGGUGGUCAGAGAGCCCUUUGAUGCCACCCUUCCAACCUUUCAGCGUUUGGUGAGAGCGAUCAGCCAUGAGGUGUUUGCACUGCCCUGCUGCUGGGACCCAUCACUCUAACAGGUUUAGUGGCCGACAUUUUUGUGUUGCUGUGUUGCUGUGAUGCAUUGCUUUAAGACUUUUAAGCUGCAAUUGUGCAUUUCUUCAUAAAAUAUUGACUUCAAGCCUGGGACAGUUCUCUUAAAACAGGAGAUGUGGAUGCUGCCUCAGCCUGCCUUGUGCCAUUCAGCACUGGCUGGAUCUGGGCAAGCAGGCAGUGCUGCAAACCAGGAGCAGCAGUGCUUUGUUCCCAUCCCACGCCGGUACAAGUGACUAUGUAGGUCAGUGAGCAGGGAUGAAUCAUGUCAUGUGGCCUGUACAAAUGCAGAACCAUGUUCUUUGUGUAGAGGCACAUGCAGAUUCCUAUGGAGAGCUGCUGGGGGCUGGGGCUCACAGGGUGCUCUCCAUCUAAGUGCAUAGCAUGAAGAGAGUCGCAGAAUGGUUUGGUUGGAUGGGACCUCAAAGCCCAUCCAGUGCCAACCCUUGUUUUGGGCAAAGCUACCUCUCCCCUGAAUACGUUGCCCAAAGCCGUCUCUGGCCCAGCCUGAUGUGUGGCCCUACGAGUCCCUUGCCAGGGGCAGAUAGAAAGCAGGAUCUGCUCCCAAACACCAUCAGCACUCUUCUUAAGAGCUUUUUCCCUGUUAAUUGCUUUAUAACCAGUUAUGAUUACCCAGUAAUGAUUCCUGGGUCUAAUGAUAGGAAGUACUCAUUAGCACAUGGGCAAGGGAGCAGUUCCCCAGAGCAUGUGCAUUUAGCAGAGGGGAAUAUUUGAGACUUGCAAGUUUCCAGAACAGGAAACUGAAAUUUUAGGAUCUAAUAUAGCAACCUAUUCUCCAUUACCAUCAGCUGCCAUAGUCUAGAGGAAGACACAGAGGGAAUCAAGUAUGCAUAAUGCAAACUCACGUAAUUAUAACACUAUCAACCUGACUUUAGCCACUUGGCUUGGAAACAAUUGCCCCCAAAUAUUGGCCUUUGACUGUAGAAAUGAAAUACUCUUGGGAGAAACUUUCAUUUAGAUAGCAAAUUAGAGGCAUAAAUUAAAAAAGAAAAGCAAAUCACUUAGAAAGUAGCUACCCCUGGUGUAAUGCAACGAAUAUCAGCAAGCUCUGCUUCAGGGCUGAGAAUGCUGUGUGCUAAAUCAGCAUCAAAAUGGAGCAUGGGGGGCUACUGUCAUGUUGAUGGUUUUCCUAGAAUGAUCUAAGUCUAAAACCUCUGAAAUUAACAGUCAAAUAAACAGAAAAGGGCACAGAAGGUGCUUCCAAUCUGUUCUUAAAACACAAAAUCGAAGUCAUGCCUUCAAGCACGCCCUUCCUCCCGUGUGAUGCUGGCCAGACAGAUGGUCUUACACUGCACUUCCAGAUCAAUGCAUUUAAAGAGUCCAAAAUCAGAAGAUUUUACAAAAAAGUAGCCAGCCUCUGCCUGACCUCAACAACUGAGUGUUGUCCAGUUGUCUGUAGCUCAAGCAUUGCGAGCACCUUUUCUAGUCCAAGUAACAGGAGGAUGAUUUGUGGGACUGCAGGCAAUUAUUCCAGUCUUCAAUUUCAAGAUGCUGUUGACUUUUACCUCUGACACACUAGAACGAUUGAAGUGUUUCACAAUAGCAGGGUCCCAGGAAAACAUUUCUCAGUCAGACUGAUGGGGACACCCAUUCCAAGAGGAGAAGAUAUUCAAUUGUGUAAAUGCAGAGAAAAUGAGGAAAAGAAAGGUAUUGUCUGCCAUUAUUAUUAGCUGAAGACCCAGAAGAAUUUCUGCAGAUGGCAGAUAGCAUUGCUAGUUUCCAGAACCUAGUGGCUUUUCUUCAUAUUUGUUUUGUCUUCAGGGAAAUGUGCAACAUUUAGCAAUUAGAUGUUGAUCCAACUAUGAAACAAGGUCAAGGGAAUCUUUUACAGUAUUACAGCUAUUUUUUCUCCCUAACAUAACUGAUUUUAGAGAGUAUGUCUGUGCGCCUUGUGCUGUGGCAACAGCAGGGGAAAAAGUUUAUCACUACAAAGUUCACAGCUUAAAAUGCAGAAAAAGCCUUUACCAGAUCCCAGAGAAAUGGAGGAUGUGGAUAACAGUGGGGCUUCCCAGAGAGCCCAGGCAGUAGGGGAGAGGUGCUGCUCUUGCUUCAUGAAUUCCUAAUAAUUUCACUGGGAUUCUGCAGAUAAACUUCCUGCUUGAGUUCAUCCUCCCAAAGACAGAAGGCUGCUGGUGGUGAUACUCUGCAACUUAGGGAUGUUUUUGUUACGCCUUACUCCUGCAUGGUUUCAUAGAUUAGGCAGUACAGUCAGUGACUGAGAGCUUUUCUUUUACACUGCUACUUCAUAUAAUCUCACUUAGAACCAUAGAAUCGUGGAGUAGGAAAAGACCACUAAGAUCACCCAGUCCAACCAUCGACCCAUCCCCACCAUGCCACUGAACCACGUCCCUCAGUGCCACAUCUCCAUUGUUCUGGAGUACAUCCAGUGUUGGGGACUCCACCACCUCCCUGGCAGCCUGUGCCACUGCAUCACCACUCUUUGGCCAAAUAAAUUGUUCCUAAUAUCCAGCCUGGACCUCCCCUGAAGCAAUUUGAGGCCAUUACCUCUUGUCGCACUCGACCAUUCUUCUUUCCUUUGCACAACAAUAAUAGUAGUAUAAUGAUAGUAAUAAUAAUAAUAAUAAAAAAUCCCAUUUCCCUGCUGUCAAGAAGGAUGCAAGACUUAAACAUAUGUCCACCACACUGCAAUAAAAAUUGAUUUGAACUGAGCUGAAAGCCGAUAAGUAAUAAGGAUUUGUUGGCUUGCAUCGGUUUUUGUCUGACAGCAGCAGAAGAUAGCAUCAAGCAGCAUGUGCUGAAAUACACUGUUACAAACUGCAUUGGAGGCAAAAUGAAGUGGUGGUCAGUGAGGGUGCACCCAGGACCCUGCAGAUUGGGAUGGGGCUGGGAUGCCUGCAGGGCAGGGAUGGAUAGGAAGGGUGGAAACGGAGAGAAACUGAGAGCUGAGGAGAAAGGUGAACUUCUGCCUACAUCUCCAGCCUCCUGCCCACGCGCUGGGAGCCCUGCAGAACCACAAGGCAUGUUGGCAUAGGCAAAGCCCAAGGAUUUGAACUGAGGAACCAUGUUCUGUUGUCAGCAGCUUUUCUUUGGACUCAGGUACUCUGCAGUGAGUUUUGCAAUCUGAUUCUGCAGGGAGAAGCUCACUUUGUUAGGUCGGGGGGGGCUCCUCAAGGGCCUGAAGAUGUCACGUCAUGCCAUGUCCAACACUGCUGAAGUCCACAUCUGAAUCAGGUUUUAGCUCCCACAGAAGAUAAAAAAAAAAGUAAAUGCUUUGAGCUCUGCAGUCACAGAUUUCUUCCCCCCCUGUUACCACAACAUAAGGCACAUUUGCAUGUUCUCUAAAACUAGGUAUUUUGGAAUUAGAAAGAAAAAAAAACAGAAUAGAAAGGAAACCCCAGGAUCUCCCCAGUCCUGUAGUGAUGUUCGGAGCCCAGCACAUAUGAUAACAAUGCAUACCUUCCAGUCAACUUGUUCUAUCCCCCCGUGCCCACACUGUGUCCAAGGGGAAUGUCGUGUAUGUGGUGGAUGAGUGCUCUAUGGUCCCUCAUGUGUGCUGGAUUGGGCUACGUCUCAUCUAUGCAGCUGGAUGGGAGCUGCAUUUAUGGAAGCUUCUCCAUCCUCUUCCCACAGGAAGCAGGGACAACAGCUGUGGCAAAAGGGUAAAGCCAUGUUAAUCUUGGGUUUAUGACUGCUUUUUAUUUUCUAUUCUCUCUGCACACCAAAGCUCAUAAAAAUGCUAUGGGAAUCUGUGUAUUAUCUUGGAAAUGGAGUGUUGGAUCAACCCCUGAAUUGUCUUAUUGUGUUCAAGACCGUGGCCAACAAACCAAUGGCUUCCUCAGCGCUCAGCUGCUGUCAUUCCUGUGAUCACAGACUGCAUCAUCCUGCCCUUGGAUUUAUCUCAUUGCUCCCCAGCUAUGCUGUGUGUGGCUGUGUUCCAUCACACUUGUUCUUUGUGGAGCAACCUCCUGGGAGCCUUCCUUAUGGGCAUAUUGGGGAACCACCAGACUACCUCUGCCCAGAGGUAGACUUUCUGGUGGAAGGAACAGCGUAGAACAAUACAAUCACUAAAUCAUUAAGUCUGAAAAAGAUCUCUAAGAUUAUCUAGUCCAACCAUCAGCCCAUUGCCACCAUACCCACUAUCCAUGUCCCUCAGUGCCACCACGUCCUUGGGCAGCAUAUUCUAGUGCAUUACUGCUCUUCCAGAGAAGAAUUUUUUCCUAAUAUCCAAAUGGAACCCCCCCAGAUGCAACUUAAGGCCAUUACAACCUCCCCAGAUGCAACUUAAGGCCAUUACUUCUUAUUCUAGUUUGUUGAACACUUUUUUUUUUAACACUUUUAAAACACUUCUGUGAAGAUCUGAGUUAUCUUUUGUGGUCUGUUGGAGCCCUCUGCCUUGGUUUUGCUCCUUCCCAUGUUUGCUUCAUUUUUGCAGUUGGACAUACAUCAGUUUAUUGACAAACUCAUAUGGACAACUUAGCAUUCAGGAGCUGAUGUUGCUGAUUCUUUCCUAAUUUUUACAAAUGUAGCCAAUGUGGUUUUGUAAUCUUAAGCAUCUUUUCCAGAUGGCUUGGCUGGCUCAGUUAAUACUAUAUUACAAAUGUGUGUAGUGUUUUUUCUAAUGUACAGGGACUUGAUCAACUGGAGUCAUGGCAAAAAAUCUCAGCACAGAAAUGCCUUAGGAGCAUAUUCUCUUUUAAAGCAAAUGUAAUAUGGACUAGUAUUGAUGAGACUGCUCUGUACCGAUGAAGGUCAGGAGAAGGAUUUUGUGCUGGCAGCAGUGAUGCGCUCGGGAAGACAAGGAAGCUGUCAAACUGUGUUCUAGAAGGUGCCGGUUACCAAGUGGAAUUUCACCAGUUUGGGCAAGUGUUGGGCUGGGCUCCUCCAGGACACAGUCUUGCAGUGUGGCCCAAGUAUUUUCUUUUUGCCUUUCCGGAGUGAAGUGUUUGGUUUUUUUUUUUCUGGGUGAGUUCCCAUUUCAGCUCUUAACAAUUUCAAGUGGUACAAAGCAAAGUGUCAAAUAAAAUUGGAAUGUUUCUCUGCGUCACAGUCCAAAUUUUGAAUAACAAACUCCAACACAAAAUCCUUACCCCAUCUCAGCAUCCUCGCCCCAGCUCAACGUCCUCACCCCAUCUCAGCAUCCUCAUCCAGACUCAGUAACCUCACCCCAGUGUGCCCACAGCCAUCACUGCUCCCGCUGGGAGCUGGAAGCUGCUCCGUGCCGCCUGCUCAUUUGUCCUAUUCUCUGGGCUUGGCAGGUGGCAUUUUUGCUCAGUGAUUCAUUCCCUGGCAUAUGCAUUUAUCUGGGCUGACAUUUUAAUCAUGCAAAUAAGGAUCUCCUUAAUGAAGAAAAAAAUUAAUUUCACAACUGUUGCUACAAACACAGUGACAGUCCUGCUAAUGUCAUUACAUUCAUAAUACAAUCAGUGGCUUUUCCAUAAUUACUAUAAACUGGUGCACUUAGCAGCAGAGUAAAGGUUACACAAAGAGCUGCACGACUCCUCUUGUUCACUCUGGUUUUAUCGAGAGUGUUUGGCACUCCUCUUAUGCCCCUUUGAAAUCUUUUGGUUAUCGCUGCCUCAUUGCUUGUACUGCAGAUGGCUUUGCCUUUGUUGGAGGCACAGACAAAAUAAGUGGCACAGAGACAACUCCUCCAUGACCUUUAUUGCUCCUUGUCUUUCAGAUCCCAGCGUGCAGAGUAAACAAGGUGACUCAUUCUCUUCUGGUAAAUAGCUGCCUCCCAAGGUUUUGCUGCUGACAGGAUUUUUUGUUUUUUUAACUGCACCCAAAGAACAGAGGGAUGUGAGCUAUGAACCACAUAGGUAAACUCUGCCUCUGAAUCCUUAUAGGCUCAGUAGCCAUAAGGAGAAAAAGCAUUUUAUAGUCAAAAAGCAGUGAGAAUAAAUGAUUUCCUAAUGGGAAAGUGCCUUCUCUCUUCCCUUUUUCCUUAGAGAUGCUGUGGGUGAGAUACUUGAGACCUUAAUCCCAGAGACUGGAGGGAUUGGAACCAAUUGCAAACGAUGCCCAUCAGCCUCAAGUGUUUUAGGGCUGGGAUUUCACCUUCUUGUUAUCAAGGAAAGAUUUAAGGUUGUUUGAAAACUUAUUCCAAAAUCAAGCUAUUGCUGUUAAGAUUGGGGCCACUUUUCACAGACAUUUGAGGUUGUUCCUUUAAGAUACAGUAUCUAAAAGGGGGCAAUAAGAAAGAAGGGGACAGACUCUUUAGCAGGGUCUGUUGUGGUAGGACAAGGGGAAAUGGUUUCAAAUUAUUAAAAGAGAGAUUUAGAUUGGAUAUAAGGAAAAUGUUUUUUAUGAUAAGGGUGGUGAAACAGUGGAACAGGUUGCCCAGAGAGACUGUGGGUGUCCCAUCCAUGGAGACAUUCAAGGUCAGGCUGGAUGGUGUUCAGAGCACUUGGUGGAGCUGUAGGUGUGUCCCUGUUCAUCGCAGGGGAGUUAGACUAGAUGACCUUUAAAGGUUCCUUCCAACUCAAAAGAUUCUAUGACACUGUUUUAUGACACUUCACAUGGUAAUGUCAGCCUUUCUGUUUCAUUUUCACCAGAAUGGGAAGAGUUCUCCUGGUGGCAGAAAUGCAGGAUAUACAUUAUUCAUCUGGCAGAGCUGUCAGGGACUGCAAGUUUGCUGCAAGACCUUUGGAAUUUCACAACAGCAAAAGAAAAGUAAGAGAAAACCAAGAGAAGGGAGAAAAAGCACAAAAGGAGGGAAAGAAUGAGAGGAUAUUGCUGGGGAGGUUCUGCUUGUUGGUGGGAAAUUUAGAAGCUCUUCCUGGACCACUUUGGCCAUCUCUACACUUACUGAGGACAUAAUAUAUUUAAUUGAUGUACCUAAGGUGGAGAAGAGCUGGUGUAAAUCAUAGAAUUAUAGAAUGAUUGAGUUUGGAAAAGACCACUGAGAUCAUCAGGUCCAACCAUAGCCCACCACCCUGCCCACUAACCAUAUCCCUAAGAUGUAGCAUUGCAGCUGCAUGGGACAGGUGGAACCUGCAUCCUCAGCAGCAGCCCUUGCUGUAUCUGACCAUGGAGUUUGCAUGAGCUUGGUAACAGCUCCAUGAAAGAAAAAUCCCUGUGUGUGUCCAUGCUGAGCAUGUUCCUUGUAGGUUUCUCCCGCUGGGAGAAGGAGCUGGGGCUGGAUCACAAGGAGGACAGAAGGGGCUGUAAGGGAUGUUCAGAACAGGAGGGAAAGAUAUUAGGCACUGAGAGGUGGCACUUGGUCGGUCAGCCAGGUGAGGGCAUACAACCAGCAGCCAUCUGCAGCCUGAUGAUGAAUGCACGUGGGCCAACAGUUGUGCAUUCAUUGUUCAUCUUGCUUGUAAUGGAUGCACUUUUUGUAAGAGGGAAAAAUCUAUAAAACACUGCUGUUCAGCACAGAUGGUCAUUGUCACUGCCUCACUGCCCCGAGAAGAAUCAUAAACCUGCACUUCAAAAAGAUUUUUCCAGUGACACUGUAAAGGCUCAGAAUCAGAGGUAAGGCCACAGUGCUGCCCUGCAAGAUCAUUUUGUGUCUAUCAAAGCGACACCCAAGCCAGGCUAUGAAGCCUGUGUUAGUCCUCAGGGCAUUUUCUUUGCCAUGUUCCUAUCCAAGGAACCUGCAGCCCUGGUGGAGGGUUGCACUCCAUGUAAUAACCAAAUCAGUGCUUCGUUUGGCUUCCAAGAACUUGGAAUAUGCUGUGUCAGUGAGGGAUCCCUUGGGGAUCCUUUCCCAUAGUUUCUUGCUGGUUUGUGAAUUGAUUUUGGGGUUUUGGGAUCAGACAUAGGAAACACAGCUGUAGCUUACAGCCCCAUCAGCAGGGUCAGCUUCCCUGGCUGGAGGAUGGGAGGCAGCAGGGAGGGCACCCAUGCACAGAGCUGUGCUGUAUGUGCAGUCCCCACAGCCAGAGGCACAUUGUAAGCUUUGGGUCCUACCAUGAACCACCAGAUACAACUUCCUCUGGAGUCAGUGGGAAUUUGCCAGCACGAGGAGCACAAUGUGAUGGAAACAGGAGACACUGCGAGUUCACAGGGGACUUGAAUUAAAAGUUUGUUAGGACAUAGUCUAUAUUAGUUAACUACAUUCAGAUAAUCAUUUUCCAGGCAUUCAAGGCCAGGUUGGAUGGGGCCCUGGGCAGCCUCAUCUGGUACCAGAUCUGGAGGUUGGUGGCUCUGCCUGUAGCAGGGAGCUGGAACUUGAUGAUCCUUGGGGUCCUUUCCAACUCAAUCCAUUCUAUGAUUCUAUGAUUCUAAUCAUGUUCCAAGUACCUAGUAAUUUCCAUGACAGCAAUGUGAUCAAUAUCUGGCACAUGUUGGUAUCCAGCCUUUGUGUUAGUAAGAAAUCUAUGUCUGGGUUUCAAAAGCAUGUUUCCAAACCUUUACUUGGAGUGGUCUGAAUAAAAGUAAAUGUGCUUCCAUAGAGCACAUUAAAAACAUACAGAAGAUGUUUAUGUCCAAGCUUGAGCCGUCGGUCUCACUUCCAUGAUCCCUGCGAGCCCCUUACAAGCCCUGCUGUAUGCUCAUGGCAGUGCUGGUCACAAGUGCAGCAAGCAGAGGUGAGUGAUGUGGAGUUAUUAACAGAACAUUUGGCCUUGGGAAUAGAAAUCAGCAUGUGAGCAGUCAGAGCAGGGUCUGCUUCUGCCUCCCUCCCUCCCCUCCCUCCGCCUGCAAGGACAAGAAAGCUGUUAGCUGGUGCGUCACCUGCAGCCAAUAAAAGUGACAUUUCUUGGGCACAUCACGCAGGGGAGGCUGAGAUGUUUUGAUCCAUCUUAGGCAAGACUGAUGGCAAUUUAGAGAUGUUUCUGUCUGUGCUGAGAUGGCUGACGGACGGAAAAACUGCCAGUGAAGAAACAGCCUUGUACCAGGAGUUUUGCUGAAAAAGGCAGAAUCUGAUUUUUAGUUAACUCAGCGUCAGAAUGGAAAACCCAAAUGCUUACUUGCAAGAGUUGUUGGUUUUUUUUUUUUUUUUUUUUUUUAAUGCACAGAAUAAUAUUAGGAAUUGAUCUGAAACCUAGAGGACCUUCAGUCCAUUGUCAUUCUGACCUAUCAGCUUUAAAUCCAGAUAUUCAUUGUUCUAUAAAUACGCAAAAUAUUGCUAAUUCUAGCAUUUGAUAUAAUUUAAUAUUGUAACACAUUGAUUAAAUAAAUGAAAAACAAUAUAUAUAUUCUAGCUACAGACAUUCCUGUGUCAUGUCAAACUGCUUGGAAAGCACAGCCAUCCCAGUGCAGGCGCAUGGGUCAGCAGCUGGCUGCAGCUUUGCAUUCCCCAUCCUCUCUUCUUGGUCUUUUUCCCUCUUCCAAUCCUCCUCUGUGGAUGGAAAAGCAGCAUUGUGAGCCUCUGAAAUUCAAAGGAGACCUUAGAACUGGACAACCUCUCCCUUCUGGAGCCCACGCUGCCCAGGGUGCAUUUUGUUUCAUUCAGAAACAGUUCUGUGAGACUGCAGUAGCAAAGAGCCAACACUAGAUAGCAUUUCAUGUUUGUUUUGAGGAAGAAAAGCCUUUUGUUCUCCUACUGUAGAUUCAGAAAGAACUGAAGCAUGUUUUAAAUGUGAUGAAUUGUUAAUAUUUUCUGGUGAUCUGUGCAAUAUCUCCUAUACAUUCAAAACAGCAGGCAACAAGUCUCUCUUUUUCUAUUGUUUUCUGUUGUUGUUGACAUCACUGCAUCUGUACAGAACCGAGCUGAGUUUAUGAAGUGCCUCAUGCCAUUUUGCCUCUAGGUGCUGAUGUAAGAGGCUUAUGUUUGAUCUUUGCGUAGGCAUGUUCCUGAUCCUAUUAACAUUGCAUGUGAAAUCCCCACCAGGCUGGGAUCUAACCCCUUCUGUAUGUAGGUACCACAAGCACUAACAGAUAAGCAGUGAAGGAAUAGUUCUCAUGACAUACAAGACAACAGAAAACAGAA